AGUAAUUAAAUUUCUGUAGAACGGAACUCUGGGAGUUCUAAGAAGUGCAUUGCUCAGAGGUAACGCUUGCCAAGGUCAAGGACGCUUAGAUCUUGUCCUCUUUUGAGGGAUAGUCAGUUGGUCACUGUGGAGCCUGGGGCACUCCUGAAUAACUAGUGGUUGGACCACUUUGCCGUCCGGGACGGUAUUUUGCACUUUUUUGGUCGAUAGAAACCGGGUUUCGGGCGUGUGACGUUACAAUUAUAACUUCGGGGAAGUAUAGUUGGUUGCCGCUUUUAAAUUAUCUUAGAUUAUUAGUUAUUUGACCACGGCCCGGGGCCGAGACUGGUUUUAAUUGAUUACAAAAAACUCAGGGAGUUCAUCGGUUGGACCGUUAAAGUUAAAUUUUUCUAAAUUCGGUAGGUUGUUCGCUUUGAGGCCUUGUACAUAUUUGUAUAUUUUAUAAGACGUCUCGGUGUUAUAAUUGGUUGUUAUAAUUUCUAUGUUUGUAUAUAGGCUCUGUCUGCCACGGGUACUGCAGCAGGCUGGUUAUUUUGAGAGUGUGUCUGUGAAAAUGCAAAUAAGGAAGCUGAGAGGUGCAUAGAGGAUGAGGAAGUUUAUAGAGACUGCUAGACAUUGCUGAUGGCUGUAUUUAAGACGCUGGUUUUGUUUAUGACAAUAUUAACCAGUGUGUCCCCCAGACCUGAUAACACCCUUGCCCAGUUGGCCCCUGUAUCAGGCGAGCAUGGAAGGCUGGACAGCCCAUGACGGGUAAGAUCCCACCUCGAAACCCUGGGACGACCUAAGGCAAGGCGCAGUCACGAUUGCUUGUACCUAAGUCCCGGAGUGACCUUGGAGUCACUGGAGGAGACGGGAUUUAACAGGUAAGGCCACUGGGCACAGGCGAAGGGGAAAUGCCACUAACAAUGACCAGUGAUGAGCCAGAGAGAGAAAACACACCCUGUCAAAAGGAGUCUGAAACACUGCAAAAGAAACAUUUACGAGAUCACAAAGAUCACGAAUAAACAUUUAUAAAAAUCACACAUACAAACAGAAAAUGCACUAACCCUACAGAGAUAAGCUCAUGAAGAGUAAUGCAUAGAUAGUGAUUAAAACCUGCCUAAGAACACAAACAUAUGUAAUUAAAUGAGCUUGCUAAUUUCAUGAGUGUUAAACUAGUGUGAAUGUUGAAGAAAAUAAACUUAAAACACACUUGGAUAAAAUAGAGUUGUGGAAUAACUCAAACGAAGCUGUAUGACAAGGGAGUGAGUUAUGGAAAAAACAAAAACAAAAGAGAAGUGAUUAAAGUAGUUUAAGAAGGGUGACUUAGGAGCGCUGUUGCACUGAUUGAUAAAAAAACAAGUGAUUAGUAUAGAAAGAAAAUGAAAAUAAUUGAAUAAUGUGAUAAGGUUUAAACAUGUAUUUAUCUUGUGACUGAGUAUGAAAAUUAGUUGGAGAGCUAAUGUGAGUGAUGACAGAGGAGCUUGCUGUGUGUGUGUGAUUGAGGCCUUCAAGGAGGAGUAGACAGUUCAGAGGUGAAAAUUUGAUCAAGAGGUUUAUAAAUUAGUGUUGACAUAUUGUGAGAACGUGCUUAUAUGUUAGGUUGAAUGUGAGUUUGGUAAAGUGCUUAAAGGGGGAUAUUGUGUACAAAACGGUGAAGCUUUUAAGUUUUGGGUGUGUUCUAUGGGUGAAAUUUAAGAUUGUUGAAGAUUUUUGAGGUUGUUGUUUUAUUUUUUAAAGAGGGAGUUUUAAUAAACAUGGACAUGUUUAAGGGGUUUUGUAACAGUGCACUUAUAAAGAAAAACCUGUCAGGUGAUUUUGUUUUGUACUUUGAUGAGCUAAUACUCAGCUCUCUUUUUUCUCAUUUUUGUUCUAAGCAGGCCUGCAAAAGACAACAAUGAAUAACGGCGUCGACAAUAGUCUCAGGAAAACAAAAAGUAAGGUGACCUUUUCCGAAUUACAAUGGGUCAGAUUGUGGGUCCCUGUCUCAGAGGAUUGCAGCGAGACAAUCCAGUCCAAAAGUAUAAAGAACUAUUCUCCUAGAAACGAGUAAAAAGAAAAUAAAUGAUUAUAUAAAUACACUGAGUUUGCUGAAAGUGGAAAAUCUGAUUAUUCGUGCGGAAGUCUACCAAUACCCGAUGUUAAUGCGUGUGAGUGAAUGUGUGGGUGAAUGGACGGAUCGGGCAGACCAUAGGUUGGACCGACUGGACACUGACAAAAGACUGGACUAAGGUUGGACACAUGACUGAUAAUUGUUAUGUUUUAAGUUUUGUUUUAUAACACAGGUUGGAUCAUAAGUGGAGAAAGUGAGUAUAAAAGGUGAUGUUCUGGUUAACACACAGGUUUUUGUUUAUAGGACGUUUCAAGGAUGCAGGCUGUGGAUGGAGCCAAGAAGGGAUUUUGACAUGAUGAUUAAUUUGAUUUCAUUCCUUAAACACAGGUUUGAAGGCCCGGAGCAUCUAUACCUAAUAUGAUAUGAUUAACCUUUUCUUUUAAUUCCCUAACCUGAGUGAAGGAUUUUGAGUUUGUAACACAUGAGAUGUGUCACAAAAAGGGGGGUCUUAAUAUAUGCGAUUAGCUACAUGAAAUGUGCUCUUUUAGGGUUAAUGAGCAAAUGUCUACGUGACCUUUACCUAAUAACCUUUGUGAUGAUAAACUUGUUUACCGACUUGCUCUCUUGUAGAACAUACAGACUUAGGAAAGGGGAACUUCAGCUCUGAGUUUUGAGAAUAACUCUGUUAAGUUGACAGGAAACAUGUCGGAAUAGCCAUAUAGGGCAAAUGUGUUAGCUUGUAAUUAAAUGUGGGACUUGAAAAGAGGAAGCAAAUUUGGUACAGGACGUACUUGAGAUGAUCAGAUGAGAGAAGGAGAAGGUCAGGAAUACUUUAAAGUAAGAUUGAGAAAUUAAAUGGGGUAAAAGGGGGUGUAGCUUCAGGGCAGCUCACAGCCCGGCGUAAACGCAAGGUGCUGUCACACAGCUUAAGUUAUUUGGUUGAUUUAUUUUAUGACAAAAUAAUAAGGAAAUAUUAAAAUAUACCACACGUUGAGGAGAUCUCUUUUGUUAUAUUUUAGUGUUUAACAUGGAAGAUGCCUCUCUGGAGCUUCUCUCCUGAUGCUACUCCACCAAAAGACGCUUAUCCAUAGAGACUAUGUCAGCUCCCAAACAGACAACAACAAACCAAGACUAGCAAAAAACAAUCUGAAUAUAAAUAAUAACAAAUAAAGAAUAAUACAGAAUCCAAAUAUGAACGAAAGAAUAAAAUAGUGAAAUGUGGAUUAUUAAAUAUUAAGUCUCUCUGUUAAAAGAAGUGUCUGUUAGCUGACGCCGAGCGGUCGCAGCAGAUGGCUGCCCGUACCUGAGCAUGGUUCUGCUGGAGGUUUCUUCCUGUUAAAAGGGAGUUUUUCCUUAACACUGUUGCCAAAGUGCUGGCUCAAUAGGGGGUCACAAGAUUGGUGGGUUUUUCUCUGUAUAUAUGAAGCACCUUGAGGCAAUUUUUGUUGUGAUUUGGCGCUAUAUAAAUAAAAUUAAAUGGGAAUGUAUUGAAGUAAACUUAAAUGUCAUAAACUAGGAAUUAGUUCAUUUCUCAGGGGAGAAAAGAAAACAAAAAAAAAAAAAAAAAAAAACGGGGACUGGUGUUAGGAACAAAAGCUAUAUUUUUAAUAUGAAUCUGGUUAUGAUCUUGUUUUAUGUACUUUAAUAAUGAAGGCUGGCUUGUAGAGCAAGGCCACCUUUUACUCACAAACAAGUGCUCAGCCAGACUGAAAAACAGGAAGUUUUAGUGCACAAGGCAUAUUAAUAAAUAUAGACACAAAAAGAGGAACUCCCCAUAUAAACAACGUUCAAAACUGUGUGAAGUAUAAAGUACCGAAAUAACACUAUAUAAGUCACAGCUGAUGAUUCUAAUGUUAGAGAGCUCUUGCAACUGGCGUCUGAGCUGUGCAGAGGUCGCUCUUAAGACAGGUACUUAUGUAGGUUAACAUAAGGUUGAGUCCAACAGAAGCAAGGCACCCUAAAUGUGCACAGCAUGCAGCAGGGGUGGCCAAAAUAAUAUAGGAAACAGCACAUGUAGGGAGAGAACACCCACUAAAAGUUCUGACUACACAUAGUGUGGUGGCUUAUGUGAACUUGCAGGCGUUCACUAUGACAUCAUUAGCACAACAGAGACUGAGUAAAGUUUUAGAUGCUCGAAAUCUGACACUUACUCAUGAAGAAAUCAAUAUGGCAGAUUUAAUGGGAUUAGGAGGACCUAAUUACUGUACUAAGAAAGCAGAACUUGAAGGGAAAGUCAGGGAAGAUUUAAAAACAGGAUCUGUUGGGAUUGGGGAUUUAGAGAUUUUUAUUGCUACUAUAUAAUGUGCCUUAUGAUGACUGCAUUAAUAACAGGUUGUACAGUAUAAUUUUAAUAGUAUUGAAUAUGUUUGUGAUAACAGUGAUGUCUCUAUUUGCAGGUUGAGUUAAGACACAAUGCAUAACUGUGCUUGUUUAGAGUUCAUGUUCCGUCCAAAAGGGUCUUAAGCUUCACUGGUGAGAGUGUCCAGGUGAUACAUGUUGAGGGAAGAUGAGAACAUAGCAGGUUAAUUGCAUGCACGCUUACAAACACACAUGAUUUAAAUAUAGGCCAGGCCGAAGGUCUGGACUUUAUGUAGCUUUUAAAUUUACAGCUCCUAACUUGCAGGAAUGGUGUGGACUGUAAUGAAUGAAUGCAAAACAUGAUUACAGACACAAACAUGUUAUGGAUUUAUUUUGUAGGGUAAAGGUGGAACACAUGGUGCUUUGUUUCUGCUUAGCAACUACUGAGUCGGGUGAAACAAAAUGUUGUAGAUAAUAGAAACUUGUCUAACUGGUAUGAACAGUAACUUUUGCAUGUUAUGUAUAUGCUUGAAGCAAAAAGAGGCGUAAAUGAUGAUAGAAAAUUUUGAAGUGUGUUUUCUAGCGGACAUUUAGGCUGACAUAGGGAUGGUGUAUAUUUUACCCGGGGUGUUUUUAAAUAGAACUAAAAGCGUUGCUCACACACAUAAAGAGUAUUGAGAUUAGGUAAAGUUAAUAUAAUGGAUAGAGCCCAGAACAUGAUGUUGUGAACCAACUUUGAAUAAUGACAGGAACCUUAGAUGAACACAGUAGGUUAGUAAGGUGUAGCAGAGAGAGGCUGUUUGUUUUUUAUCCCUUACAGGAGAAGAUUUCCACUAGAGAGGGACCCAGAAAAGGAGCAGGGACCACUUAAGCAUGAAGUGUUUUCAAGUGGGAGCUGGUGUUUUAGUACUGGACCACCUAGAGGACAUGAGGUGGUUGUCUGAUUUGCUGAGUCAGAGGACGGCUAGAGAGGGUCAGAGUGGGUCGAGGAGUGACCCAAGGAAAUGGUGUGGUGAUGUCUCUGGAGAGACAUCAAGAGAGGGAAUUGUAAUAUUUAAAGAAAUUAGUUUACUGCUGAACUGUAUAUAACCAUCAUCCUUAACAUUACAUUAAUUAUCAUUUCAUCAAAGUGUUUAUUGAAACUGCUGGCAUUAUGUUAUAAGUUAUAUUAUAGGGGUUAUCAUAAUCUAAUAUUAACAUGUUUAUUACAGGUGCAGUUAUAACUACUUUAAAAUGAUUGAGUUAAUAUAUAUAUAUCAUAACUCAUAGCCUGAGUAUGUUGUUACAGUAAAAUAGUAGCUGAGCAAAGGCCUGAAUGUAUUCAGCUUCUUGUGGUAUUUGAGUUUGCUUAGUUACAGGUGAUGAAAGGAUGUCCAGUCCAUGGGGACCUCAAAGGCCUGAGAUCUUCACCAUAUUUGGAUGGAUGGGGAACUUCUGUGUCUGCAGUUAUCUCUUAAAAUACAUGAAUGUUCUGUACAUGCAAAUUAUGUGACUGUAAACGCAAGAGGGGGCGUUACAAUACCCUGAUGGGAUAAAAGCAAUCUAGAGUGUAUUUUGGGCAGAGAUGUACAACUGAUGUUUUGCAGUUUGCACCUCUCCACGCUGCGUGCAUUCAUUAAAAUCAAUUGUUUGACCGACCU